UACGGAGGAUCCGAGCGUUAUCCGGAUUUAUUGGGUUUAAAGGGUGCGUAGGUGGAUUGGUAAGUCAGUGGUGAAAGUUUGCAGCUUAACUGUAAAAUUGCCGUUGAAACUGCCGGUCUUGAGUGCAAAUGAGGUAGGCGGAAUGCGUCGUGUAGCGGUGAAAUGCUUAGAUAUCACGAGGAACUCCGAUUGCGCAGGCAGCUUACUAAACCAUAACUGACGCUCAGGCACGAAGGCGUGGGGAGUCAAACAGGAUUAGAUACCCUCGUA
rnacentral:rRNA from 1 species